rnacentral:rRNA from 1 species
AUGGUCAUGAGCGGGCUUGGGUGUGCGAUUGCGGUCGCUGUGGCGAAGCAGAUCGUCAGCAAGCUAUUUGUCGGCGGUGAAUACGCUGCGGCGGAAGUCACUCUGCAGUGGAGGUACAGAGAGCAGGUGCUGGAGAUGGGGGAGAAGAUGAAAGAUAUCGAGGCCGUGCUGGGCGAUGCCGACGAGAGGUCGCGUCGAGGAGGGGAAGCCGGAAGAGUGUUUCAGCGGUGGCUUAUGAAGUUUAAGCGUGUCGCCUACGACGUCGAGGACGUGCUGGAUGAGCUUGACGCUGAUGAGCUCAUCAGCAACACACAAUCCAAGGCCAGCUUAUGGUUUUCGAGAAACAAUCAACUCCUGCAGCGAAUGACCAUGCCCCACAAGAUGAAAAAGGUGAUGAAGAAAAUAGACCAGAUUAAAAAGGAGGGCAGUAGGGAUCUCAAACUUGUGCCUCACGAAGCAAGGGGAGAAGGGAGCAGAAGCAAUGAAACACUUGCAGCCAACUGGACUGCUCAUGGAAUGGAAACAGGGAUGGUGGGGAGGGGUAUCGAGAAGGAGAAGAUAAUCAGCCUGCUACUCACAAGUGAAGAAGCCAACCAGGAUAUCUCUAUCAUUCCAGUUGUCGGCCUUGGUGGCAUAGGCAAGACAACAUUGGCUGAAUCAGUUCUUGCAGACAAGAGGGUCAGUGUCUUUGACAUCUCAAUAUGGGUUAAUGUGUCCAUGCAGUUUGAUUUGCACAAAAUUGGGAGUGUCAUCCUGAAAAGAAUGAUGGAUAACCUUGACAACUGUGAUUUGCAAUUUCAUCUGAAAAAAGAACUUGCUACUAGAAGAUACUUGAUUGUUCUGGAUAAUCUCUGGGAAGAAGAUGGAAAUAAUCUUGAAAGGCUCAAGGAGAUGUUACAGCAUGGCCGAAAGGGCAGCCGUGUUAUAGUAACUACCCGAAACCUAUGCGUAGUGCAACAAUUGCGCACUGGUUUUCUUGCAAAUCAGAGGAAAAUUUCUCCGGUCCCAGCGUCCGACAUAAUCAAUUUGGGUGUUUUAGAACCCGCAGAAUGUUGGGAAUUAAUGAAGCAAAGGGCAUUUGGGCCUGAUGAUGACCAUAGUAGCUUGGAAGAAAUUGGACAGCAGAUUGCAGCCAAGUGUGGAGGAUUACCGCUCGUGGCAAAUGCUCUUGGGCAAGUAAUGUCAGAGCUAAGGACCGUGGCAGCAUGGGAACAUAUAAGAGAUACCAAGGUUGAUUUGGGUUUGAGAGAAGGACAUCAGAAAGAAACAUUAGAGAGGCUAAUGAUGAGCUAUUACCACAUGAAGCUAGAAUUCAGGAUGUGUUUCACGUACUUGGCAACCUUCCCCAAGGGCUUUGUCAUGUAUGAUAAUCAUCUAAUCCAGCAAUGGAAUGCACUUGGAUACAUUAAUUCAAGGCAUGAUGGUCAAAGGUGCAUCAACUACCUUUUGGGGAUGUCCUUUCUUCAGAUUCCAGGAUCUGCUUCGGCCAGUCCAAGUCCAUUGCAUUGCAAAUCUCCUCCAGAACUUGUCAUGCAUGAUUUGGUGCACGAUCUUGCAUCAGAAAUUGUUGCUGAUGAAUUCAUUGAUCUGGAUGCUACCAAAAGCACUAGCUGGAACAGGCCUAAUUACUACCGACAUGCACAGUUAACCAACUUCAAUAAUGAUCCCGCGGUUUUCAAAUAUGUUCCAGACAAGCUGAGGUCCCUCCAUUUUAGGGAUUUGGGGGGAUUGCAACUACCGAAAAAGGCAUUUGCUCAGUCCAAGUACAUACGUGUCUUGGACCUAAGUGGACAUUCAUCCAAAGGCCAAUCCGCUCCAAGUAGCAUGACGCUGCCAUCUUCUGUAAAUCAAUUGAAGCUACUUAGGUACCUUGACGCCACAGGCUUGCCAAUAACAUCACUUCCAAAGUACUUUCAUGCACUUCAAAACAUGGAAACUCUUAUUAUGUCUAAUUCCUUGCUUGAAACCUUGCCUGAUAGUAUUUGUUGCCUCAGCAAACUCUGCUAUUUGGACCUAUCUGGCAGUAGCAGCCUCAGUAAGCUACCUGCAUCACUAGGGGAGCUCUCUCAACUCUUUUUUCUUAAUCUAUCUGGGUGUUCUAUACUCCAAGAGUUGCCUGACUCUAUCUGUGAGCUUACAUGCUUACACCACCUAAACAUGUCAGAUUGUUGUGCUCUUCAAAAGCUCCCUGAUAAAUUUGGUGGCCUUCAUAAACUCUCAUUCCUAAAUUUGUCAAGUUGUUCAAAGCUCACCAAACUACCUGACAAUAUAAGCUUCCCAUGUUUAGAACAUCUGAACCUAUCGAGUUGCCAUGAGCUAGAAAACCUACCAAUUGAUUUCGCUUACAUUCAGAAACUUGAGUCUGUGAACCUCUCUGGUUGCUACAAGGUUUCAAUGCUGCCAGGAUCAUUUUGCCAACUUAAUCAUUUGAAAUACCUAGAUGUUUCAGAUUGUCAUAACCUUGAAAAACUACCUGAAUAUUUUGGUCAUCUCAUUGAGCUUGAAUAUUUGAACCUAACAAGUUGUCCUAAGCUCCGACAAUUGCCUGAAUCACUAUGCAAGUUGUCUAAGCUGAGGCGUCUCUAUUUGUCAUAUUGUCUGAGGCUUAGGGAGCUCCCCUCCUCAUUUGGUGACCUUCAACUUCAAAUACUGCACAUGAAUGGCCUUCUAUAUAUGUAUGAUUGCCCUGAUAGCAUUGGUGACAUGACUAGUCUCACCCAGUUUGUGAUUGAUAUUGCAACUUCUAGGUUGCGUAAAAAGAUUCCAGCCAUUGUAAAGCGUCUAAAUCUUGUGGGCACAGUAAGACAUCACGUACAUGAGAUAGAGAGUAGAGGAUGCAACAGUAUAGUGGAUCUUUGGGGAUUGACUUGUUCAGAGCUGAUACUUGAAGGCCUUCAGAAUGUCACGCAUCCAGAAGAUGCAGACAGAGUCAAACUACGUGAUAAAUCAGAUAUUCGAGUAUUAAAACUUCUCUGGGAAAGCGAAGGAGGUAAAUCUGUGCUGGACCGGCUCGUACCUCCACGGACUCUGGAAAACUUUUCGCUAGUUGGGUUUAUGAGCAAGGAUUUCCCUAACUGGUUGUUUCACAUCUCGUCCUACCUCCCUUUUCUCAGCGAACUGGCUCUUGAUGGUUUGGAAGCAUGUGAUUGUCUUCCUCCAUUCGGGGCAGUACCAAAUUUAAGAAUGUUGUCUCUGAAGAACAUUCCCAACAUUAGGAAAAUCGGUAAGGAAUUUUAUGGAGAGGGCGGACCUUGUAUGAAACUAAGAGUUCUGCAAUUGGAGUUGAUGGAGAAUUUGGUGGAAUGGUGGACAACAGAGUCAAGUAAAGAAAACAAAGAGUUUCUAAUCCCUAAUUUGCAUCUUUUGUUGGUAGUGGACUGCCCAAAGUUGAAGUUCCUACCAUAUCCCCCAAGAAGUAUGCAUUGGGGUUUGAGCAACAGCGAGACAGUUUGGCCAGAGCGAGGAUUCGGAAUGCUCUCCUCUUCCAUUCACCCUUUUGAGAUGGUUCUAAAGAACUGUAGUUUCUGUCAAGACAAGUGGGAUAGUCUUCAACACUUUCCCACCCUGGAGAAUUUUUAUGUAUACUCCAUCAGUGGCUUGAGGACUUUGCCAGAGGUCAUGCGAUGCUUCACCUCUCUCACUAGACUAUGGUUGCUGUCGUUGAAUGACCUGGAAAUAUUACCGGAAUGGUUGGGACAGUUCACUUCUCUAGAAAAACUUUUCAUCGGAGAUUGCCCCAGCCUGACAUCUUUGCCUGAAAGCAUACAGAGUCUCCCAGCUUUGAAGCUACUCGACAUUGCUCAAUGUCCAAGUCUGAUUGCAAGGUGCCAAGGGGAGGAUGCCCACAAGAUUAGUCAUAUCCCCGAAGUCCAAUUCGGGCAUUGA